rnacentral:rRNA from 1 species
AUUGAACGCUGGCGGCAGGCCUAACACAUGCAAGUCGAACGAGCGGCGGACGGGUGAGUAAUGUAUGGGAAACUGCCCGAUGGCGGGGGAUAACUACUGGAAACGGUAGCUAAUACCGCAUACCAUCGGAUGUACCCAUAUGGGAUUAGCUAGUAGGUGGGGUAAAGGCUCACCUAGGCGACGAUCCCUAGCUGGUCUGAGAGGAUGAACAGCCACACUGGGACUGAGACACGGCCCAGACUCCUACGGGAGGCAGCAGUGGGGAAUAUUGCACAAUGGGCGCAAGCCUGAUGCAGCCAUGCCGCGUGUAUGAAGAAGGCCUUCGGGUUGUAAAGUACUUUCAGCGGGGAGGCGUUACUCGCAGAAGAAGCACCGGCUAACUCCGUGCCAGCAGCCGCGGUAAUUC